rnacentral:rRNA from 1 species
UGGGGGAUAUUGCACAAUGGGCGAAAGCCUGAUGCAGCGACGCCGCGGGGGGGAUGAAGGCCUUCGGGUUGUAAACUUCUUUUGCUCUGAACAAGGCGCACCAUGGGGUGUGUUGAGUGUAGGGGUUGAUUAGCGCCGGCUAACUACGUGCCAGCAGCCGCGGUCAUACGUAGGGCGCGAGCGUUGUCCGGAAUUAUUGGGCGGAAAGGGCUUGGAGGUGGCUGGUUGCGUCUGUCGUGAAAGCUCAUGGCUUAACUGUGGGUUUGCGGUGGGUACGGGCUGGCUUGAGUGCAGUAGGGGAGGCUGGAAUUCCUGGUGGAGCGGUGGAAUGCGGAGAUAUCAGGAGGAAUACCGGUGGCGAAGGCGGGUCUCUGGGCUGUUACUGACGCUGAGGAGCGAAAGCAUGGGGGGCGAACAGG